AAUCUUUCGCAAUGGGCGAAAGCCUGACGCAGCCAUGCCGCGCGAAAGAUUAGGGGCUUAUGAUUGUAAAAUUCUCUCACCGGGGACGAUAAUGACGGUACCAGGAGAAGAAGCCCCGGCUCACCUCGUGCCAGCAGCAGCGGUAAUACGAAGGGGGCGAGCGUUGCUUGGAAUUACGGGGCGUAAAGGGCGCGUAGGCGGAUCGUUAAGGCAGGUGUGAAAUCCCGGAGCUCAACCGCGGAACUGCCCUUGAUACUGGCGAUCUUGAGUAUGAGAGAGGUAUGUGGAACUCCGAGUGUAGAGGUGAAAUUCGUAGAUAUUCGGAAGAACACCAGUGGCGAAGGCGACAUACUGGCUCAUUACUGACGCUGAGGCGCGAAAGCGUGGGGAGCAAACA
rnacentral:rRNA from 1 species